rnacentral:tRNA from 1 species
UGGAGAGGUGGCAGAGUGGUCGAUUGCACUCGACUUGAAAUCGAGCGGUCAUUUAGAGUGAUCCGGGAGUUCGAAUCUCCCCCUCUCCGU